UUUUUUUUUUCUCAAACCCUUUCUUCUUCACAUAUUCGUUCAAAAUCGAUUCCUUCAAUCGCUUUGUUCUUCACAUAUUUUUUUUCUCAAACCUUCGUUCUUCACAGAUUUGUUCAAUCCCUCACAGAUUUUCACCGAUUCCUUCAACUAACCCACAAAAUCCGUAUCAAGCUCACCGAUUCCUUCUUGUUCGAUCAAACU
rnacentral:lncRNA from 1 species